GUUAGGAAUAUUGGACAAUGGGCGCAAGCCUGAUCCAGCCAUGCCGCGUGAGUGAUGAAGGCCUUCGGGUUGUAAAGCUCUUUAGCCGAUGAUUAUAAUGACUGUAGUCGGAAAAUAAGCCCCGGCUAACUUCGUGCCAGCAGCCGCGGUAAUACGAAGGGGGCGAGCGUUAUUCGGAAUCACUGGGCGUAAAGCGUGCGUAGGCGGCUUUGCAAGUCGGGAGUGAAAGCCCAGGGAUCAACCCUGGAAUUGCUCUCAAAACUGCAAGGCUCGAAUUCGGGAGAGGGUAGCGGAAUUGUCAGUGUAGCAGUGAAAUGCGUAGAUAUUGACAGGAACACCAGUGGCGUAAGCGGCUAUCUGGACCGAUAUUGACGCUGAGGCACGAAAGCGUGGGGAUCAAACAGGAUUAGAAACCCUUGUAGUCC
rnacentral:rRNA from 1 species